CGGGGUGCGACCAGUGUAGCCACAUUAGGAGGAAAGAGAGAGAGAGAGAAGAAAAAAAAAAAAGGGGGGGAGAGAGGGGAUAUAUGUAGAUACACAUUGAGGUGAAGCGUUGUCGCAUGUAUUGCAUGUCUCCACUUGUCCAUGUUCCCAAUUGCCUCCCUUUCUCCCUCCCCUUCUCCCUCAUCCCGGAGUCUCAGGGUUUUUGACCUUCUUUUCUCUUUUCUUUUUCUCCUUUUUUCCCUCCCUCUUCCCGCCCCCCGGGUGUAAUGUCCAAUACCCA